AGAGUUUGAUCAUGGCUCAGAUUGAACGCUGGCGGCAGGCUUAACACAUGCAAGUCGAGCGGAGAUGAGGUGCUUGCACCUUAUCUUAGCGGCGGACGGGUGAGUAAUGCUUAGGAAUCUGCCUAUUAGUGGGGGACAACAUUCCGAAAGGAAUGCUAAUACCGCAUACGUCCUACGGGAGAAAGCAGGGGAUCUUCGGACCUUGCGCUAAUAGAUGAGCCUAAGUCGGAUUAGCUAGUUGGUGGGGUAAAGGCCUACCAAGGCGACGAUCUGUAGCGGGUCUGAGAGGAUGAUCCGCCACACUGGGACUGAGACACGGCCCAGACUCCUACGGGAGGCAGCAGUGGGGAAUAUUGGACAAUGGGGGGAACCCUGAUCCAGCCAUGGCCGCGUGUGUGAAGAAGGCCUUAUGGUUGUAAAGCACUUUAAGCGAGGAGGCUACUGAGACUAAUACUCUUGGAUAGUGGACGUUACUCGCAGAAUAAGCACCGGCUAACUCUGUGCCAGCAGCCGCGGUAAUACAGAGGGUGCGAGCGUUAAUCGGAUUUACUGGGCGUAAAGCGUGCGUAGGCGGCUUUUUAAGUCGGAUGUGAAAUCCCCGAGCUUAACUUGGGAAUUGCAUUCGAUACUGGGAAGCUAGAGUAUGGGAGAGGAUGGUAGAAUUCCAGGUGUAGCGGUGAAAUGCGUAGAGAUCUGGAGGAAUACCGAUGGCGAAGGCAGCCAUCUGGCCUAAUACUGACGCUGAGGUACGAAAGCAUGGGGAGCAAACAGGAUUAGAUACCCUGGUAGUCCAUGCC
rnacentral:rRNA from 1 species